CUUCCUUCCGUAGGUGAACCUGCGGAAGGAUCAUUACUGAAAAACUAUAUCAAGUUUUUUUAUACCCUUUUGUUUACCUACCCUAUUGCUUCCACUGGACAGGUUUCACCUUGUGUGGAACCUCUGGCUUGUGUGAAAAGCACCUGCCAGAGAGUUGCUGGUGGGAAGAACUAUUUACUAAAACUUGAUUUUUAAAAAAAUACAAUGUCUGAAUAAUUUCCUUUAAUGAAAUAAAACUUUCAACAACGGAUCUCUAGGCUCUUGCAUCGAUGAAGAACGCAGUGAAAUGCGAUAAGUAAUGUGAAUUGCAGAAUCUCGUGAAUCAUCGAAUCUUUGAACGCACAUUGCGCCCUUUGGUAUUCCAUAGGGCAUGCCUGUCUGAGCGUCAGCUCCCCCUCACUCAAGUAUCCUUUCAUAAGAUACUUGGAUUGCUUUGGAGAGGUAACUGUGUAUUAAGUUGCCCUCCAGAAAUUUAUAGGCAGUAUGGUUUGUACUUGAACCAGACGUAAUAAUAAUAAAAUCGUUUGUUUGAGUAUGAUUGAUUGUACUUGCCUCAACUCCACCCAUUUUUAUUUUGGGUGACCUCAGAUCAGGUAGGGAUACCCGCUGAACUUAAGCAUAUCAAUAAGCGGAGGAA
rnacentral:rRNA from 1 species